UGGGGAAUUUUGGACAAUGGGCGCAAGCCUGAUCCAGCCAUGCCGCGUGCGGGAAGAAGGCCUUCGGGUUGUAAACCGCUUUUGUCGGGGAAGAAAAGCCUUGGGUUAAUACCCUGGGGGGAUGACGGUACCCGAAGAAUAAGCACCGGCUAACUACGUGCCAGCAGCCGCGGUAAUACGUAGGGUGCAAGCGUUAAUCGGAAUUACUGGGCGUAAAGCGUGCGCAGGCGGUUGUGUAAGACAGAUGUGAAAUCCCCGGGCUCAACCUGGGAACUGCAUUUGUGACUGCACAGCUGGAGUGCGGCAGAGGGGGAUGGAAUUCCGCGUGUAGCAGUGAAAUGCGUAGAGAUGCGGAGGAACACCGAUGGCGAAGGCAGCCUCCUGGGCCAGUACUGACGCUCAUGUACGAAAGCGGGGGGAUCAAAAA
rnacentral:rRNA from 1 species